AACACAUUGCUGCCGCCUUUUAGCAUUGGUUUGCUGAAGUGAUCGCUUCAUUCUGCACAACGAUAUGACAAGAGAAAUCAAGUGUUCCAGAAAUGUCAACCUUUUCAUCUUCUUUAAAGAUUUCCAAAGAAGAAGUAAUUCCUUCUUUGCUUCAAAAACAAUCAAACCAAGGGACGCUGCACUACAAAACAAAAGGCAGAUGCUGAGGAGAUAAACGAGCAUUGGGUUGUGGCACCUCUAAGUCUUUUUCUCCUCUGCAUGAUCAAGCCAUCCUUCGAAGUCUUUCCCACCUUGGCAACUCAUCUGAAAAGGCUGACAGGACAGAGGAUGAUGAGAGCCUUCUCUCAGAAUAAACUCCAGCGAAUUGAAGCCUUCCAUCCAUAAUUAUGAACAAACCAAGCCAGAGAGCUUCAACCAGUCAUUAAGCUGGAGGGGGAGAAGAAUCUUGCCUGUGGACAGACAAAAGGAUCCGCUGCCAACUGAUUCUCAAGUGUCUGCCGCCAGCUUCUGUUAGACAGGAUACCAGAAUAAAGGUACAACUUCCUGAUUUGGCUUCAAAUGUCUUUGUUCCUGACAGCUGGCAACUAAACGUAUUUACAGUUGUGGCACAUAAGCAAAACAAGAAUAUACUUGGAUUUAAGCCUACUAAGCACCACUGAAUCCUAAGGCUGCAAGUCAAAGCUCUUUAACUACCAGAGCAAGUUCUCUUUAACAUAAAUACAAGUCAGUCAAAGUAAAUUACUGUGGCCUAGACAUGUUAAAUACACAUGCUCUGACCCAGAACCUAAGACAACAGUAUACCUUCAGUGAGAAUAUAAACAUAGCCUUGCUGCAUUCAUUCAUUCAAAAGAACCAUCCAGUGCUGUAUCGUAUUUGCCAUAGUGGCUCUACGUUCUUGCCACCAACUGGUAUUCAGAGAUAUACUGAACUGAACAUGAAUACUCCAUAUAGCCAUUAUGGCUACCAGCCAUACCAAUCUUCCAUAAAUUUGUCUAAUCCUCCUGUAAGCGAUCAGUGUAUACAGUAUAAAGCAACCCAAGAGGGUUUUAAUCACCUUGUGGAGUUAUCUUACCCACUCUCGUUUCCAUACUACAAAGAUUGGUCAUCUUCGAUGAUACAAGUUAAGAAGUAGCAAAACUUGCUAUGCAGAUGGUGCUUUAAUGCAGACCUUGAGAAGAAAUUAAAAAGGUUGUGGUGGUCCUGGUAUUAGCAUAACAUUGGAGUUCAGACAAAUAAACACUGCAACUGUGCAUACAUUUAAAAUUCUAACUAUUCAUGAUGUCAUUUUUUAAAAAAAGAGAGAAUAUCAGCAAUUUUAUCCAGCCUUUUCAAGUCACUCAGACCUUAUGCUC